rnacentral:rRNA from 1 species
GACGAACGCUGGCGGCGUGCUUAACACAUGCAAGUCGAACGGAAAGGCCCUGCUUUUGUGGGGUGCUCGAGUGGCGAACGGGUGAGUAACACGUGAGUAACCUGCCCUUGACUUUGGGAUAACUUCAGGAAACUGGGGCUAAUACCGGAUAAGAGCUCCUGCUGCAUGGUGGGGGUUGGAAAGUUUCGGCGGUUGGGGAUGGACUCGCGGCUUAUCAGCUUGUUGGUGGGGUAGUGGCUUACCAAGGCUUUGACGGGUAGCCGGCCUGAGAGGGUGACCGGCCACAAUGGGACUGAGAUACGGCCCAGACUCCUACGGGAGGCAGCAGUGGGGAAUAUUGCACAAUGGGAGGAAGCCUGAUGCAGCAACGCCGCGUGCGGGAUGACGGCCUUCGGGUUGUAAACCGCUUUAGCCUGUGACGAAGCGUGAGUGACGGUAAUGGGUAAAGAAGCACCGGCUAACUACGUG